GACAGAGGGUGCAAACGUUGUUCGGAAUUACUGGGCGUAAAGCGCGUGUAGGCUACUUGGAAAGUCGGAUGUGAAAGCCCUGGGCUCAACCCAGGAAGGUCGCAGAUGACUGCCUCGCUUGAGGACGGGAGAGGAGAGCGGAAUUCCCGGUGUAGCGGUGAAAUGCGUAGAGAUCGGGAAGAAGGCCGGUGGCGAAGGCGGCUCUCUGGAACGUUCCUGACACUGAGGCACGAAAGCGUGGGGAGCAAACAGG
rnacentral:rRNA from 1 species